CCUACGGGUGGCAGCAGUGGGGAAUAUUGGGCAAUGGGCGCAAGCCUGACCCAGCAACGCCGCGUGAAGGAAGAAGGCUUGCGGGGUGUAAACUUCUUUUCUGAGGGACGAAGAAAGUGACGGUACCUCAGGAAUAAGCCACGGCUAACGACGGGCCAGCAGCCGCGGUAAUACGUAGGGGGCAAGCGUUAUCCGGAUUUAUUGGGUGUAAAGGGCGUGUAGGCGGGAAAGCAAGUCAGAUGUGAAAACUCAGGGCUCAACCCUGAGCCUGCAUUUGAAACUGUUUUUCUUGAGUGCUGGAGAGGCAUUCGGAAUUCCGUGUGUAGCGGUUAAAUGCGUAGAUAUACGGAGGAACACCAGUGGCGAAGGCGGAUUGCUGGACAGUAACUGACGCUGAGGCGCGAAAGCGUGGGGAGCAAACAGGAUUAGAUCCCCUUGUAGUC
rnacentral:rRNA from 1 species